rnacentral:rRNA from 1 species
GGGAAGAAACGGCCCUGGCUAUACCUGAAGCCCCUGACGGUACCUGCCCAAUAACCACCGGCUAACUACGUGCCAGCAGCCGCGGUAAUACGUAGGGUGCAAGCGUUAAUCGGAAUUACUGGGCGUAAAGCGUGCGCAGGCGGUUUGGCAAGAAGGAUGUGAAAUCCCAGGGCUUAACCUUGGAACUGCAUUCUUAACUGCCAAGCUAGAGUUUGUCAGAGGGGGGUAGAAUUCCACGUGUAGCAGUGAAAUGCGUAAAGAUGUGGAGGAAUACCGAUGGCGAAGGCAGCCCCCUGGGAUAAUACUGACGCUCAUGCACGAAAGCGUGGGGAGCAAACAGGAUUAAAUACCCUGGUAGUCCACGCCCUAAACGAUGUCAACUAGCUGUUGGGGCCUUCGGGCCUUAGUAGCGCAGCUAACGCGUGAAGUUGACCGCCUGGGGAGUACGGUCGCAAGAUUAAAACUCAAAUGAAUUGACGG